GCAUUCACGUUUUCCACAUAUGGCCUGUCCCUUAACACUGACACCAGGAUAGCACGGGUGUUGGUGAUGCAAAUUGUGUUUGAUCAGAACCCGGUAUUCUGGGAAUUGAAGUUCGUUACCAGGAGACUAUAUUGCAAAACAUCAAUUGCAGUGAACAAACCUAGUAGUUGUGAUGAUAGCUGGAGCUCAGGCAUGUGAUAUUGCACUCAAGCUGAAGAAUUCUUCCAGAGCAUAUGGUCAGUAGGGUAACAUUUACUUGGUAGAAAUUAAAAAUUACAGCCUGCGGUGGCAGCUGGGAAUGUGGAAAUGCUGGAACAAUUAUCGUGGGUGUGGUGCAUAGGGCAGCUUUAUCUGCAUCUGCAGUGAUUAGAUUCUGAAUAUUUGGAGUCUGAACAUGGUAUUUUUCUCUCUUUUAACACCGAGUUGAAUGUGGGAUAAAAAGGUGGUCAUUACUCCACUGCGGUGAUUCAUCAAGAGAAUCAUAUUUGUCUCCUCAACAUGGAACUGAAAUGAGAGCCAUAAAGGAGGCUAUUGUUCCACUGGGACAAUUUCGGUCAUAAGACAAACUUGCUAUUUGCCAAUAGUCUAGAUGGUAGCUAACUUUUUUAUUGCAUUUCUGUUUUUCUUUUUGUUAUCAUUUUGAAGUUGUAGCGUAGUCUAUCUUUCUGCCCAGAAUUAAUUCCCAAUGAAACCUGUUAGGACUUAGGACUGAUGGCAGCAGAUACAUCCCAAUUUUCAGCAACAGCGUUUCAGUGUAAAUUUAAAGCUAAACUUAGAUCUCUUAGAGUAAUUGUACCUAUAAAAAAGAUAGUUGUACACAUUUAUGAUUACAGCCUGGAAGACCAGUAAAAUACCAAAAGCUUAGGCAGCUCUCUGGGAUCCUAACGACAAUGAGGUGCAAAAGCAUGGGGAACAGGAAUGGAUACCUUGGUAGUUCAUGGCAUAGACAAUGAGUAUUCACCCUUGGUCUAUGCGGAUCAGGACCUGCAUUAGUAAAGUUUCCUAAAAGGAUGAGCUUAAUCAAAGUUUUUAUUCUAUUGAUUGCAUUGUUGACUUCUGUAGAGAUCUGGAAUUUUUCUGUGACAUGUAAAACAGUAGUAGUUCUGUGGGAGAGUCACUGCAACCUAUGAGUUUCCACUUUAGCUUUCUUCUGUAGGUUUAUUGCACAUUUGUGCCUUUUUCAUGAAGCAGACAGCAAAAAAUACCCAGGUUUUUUCAUCUGAGAUAAAAUGUUGGCUGAGGGACUGAGAAUUAGGUGUGGAAUUGAAGAGGUUAUUUUAUUUCCUUUCUUUUCAGGGGGUAAAAAAUAUUGGUAUUCUAAACUUUUCAUUACCCAUCAUUUUAUUCCAUGUAGGAGUUCAAGCAUAUUUUCCUUCUGGCAAUAAAACAGAGCAUAGCCCGUGGUUCACUAAAAUUGAAAUGAUAAACUACCACAAUGUUCAACUGAAAAACUGAAAGGUCGCAUCAUUAUUGAAAUGACAAAGUUCGUGAUUUUUUCCAAACUAUUCCCUUAAAUCGAACCAAUUAGAUUUAAAACAAAUG